rnacentral:lncRNA from 1 species
AUGAAAAAAAACAGAUCAAGCCAGCAACCAGGGCAAGUGAUGCUUUCAUUUUCCCACACAACGCCAGAAAAAAAUUUUAAAAAUGGGAGACACCAGGGACCCGGGGGGCUGAAGGGACAUGACAAGUCACCAGCUCCCUUCAACGAAGCCCCCUGCGGAACCCCAUUUCUCCCUGCUCUUUACAGUCGUCUGCAGCCUUUCCCCAUCCCUUCCUGCCUGCUACUCACAAAUUCCCAACCACUCCUCCCACAUUUUCCUCUAUCCCCCCCCGCCCCUUCCUUCUCUUCCCCCCAUCCUACAUCAUCCUCCACUCCAUUCCGCAAUCCUGCCGGCUUGCAGGCCGCCCAUCGGUCUCCCCCCGAGCUACCCCGGCAGCCGGGGCCCAGGUCCUCGGUGCCCCUCGCUCGCUCCCACGCCUCUCCCUUCCCGGCGGCGCUCUGGCUCUCCGCCCCACGACCGCUCCCGUCCAAGCCUCCCUCAUUCGGACCCCUCCGUCCGCGCGGCUCUGGGCUUGACCACUCCUCCACAGCCGCCCGAGAAAGGACGAGGCGGCACCCUCCGCCCCGCACCCCCAGGCCCAUUACCGGCCCCGCCGCAGCUGCCUCCUCCCGCGAUGGUCGCUGCCGCCCCCGCCGCCGCCGCCCUAGCCCGAGUGCGAAGGACGAAGGAGCGAGCGAGUCCCGGGCGACGGUCUGGGAGCUCCCAGAGCAGCAGGGCGGGGAGGGAAGGCGAGUGGGCAGGCCGGCCGGCAGGCGGCGGGGGGCGGGCGGCUCCGGCAACGCGGGCGCCCCUGGCAGCAGAAGCCCAGAACCGCCCCGGCUCCGGCUAACAAUAGGCUCCGGCCGCAGCGCUCCGACUCUUAUAGGCGCCGGCACGUCCCGGCCGCGCCCCGGGGCAGGCUGGGAAAUGGAGUCUCGCGCGGCCCGCCCCUGCCCCCCGCGCCCAGGAGCAUGCUGGGAGCGGCGGGCGGCGACGGCCGCGAAGCCGGAGCCCGGGCCCGGCGCAGCCGGUUUCCGCGCCGGCGUCUUCCCUGCGGCAGCGGACCCUGGGAAGGCGAAGCGCACGACGGAAGCCUCUCGGCCGUAG